rnacentral:rRNA from 1 species
UAGGGAAUCUUCCGCAAUGGACGCAAGUCUGACGGAGCAACGCCGCGUGAGUGAAGAAGGAUUUCGGUUCGUAAAACUCUGUUGUUAGAGAAGAACAGCGCAUAGAGUAACUGUUAUGCGUGUGACGGUAUCUAACCAGAAAGCCACGGCUAACUACGUGCCAGCAGCCGCGGUAAUACGUAGGUGGCAAGCGUUGUCCGGAUUUAUUGGGCGUAAAGCGCGCGCAGGCGGUCAAUUAAGUCUGAUGUGAAAGCCCCCGGCUCAACCGGGGAGGGUCAUUGGAAACUGGUUGACUUAAGUGCAGAAGAGGAGAGUGGAAUUCCAUGUGUAGCGGUGAAAUGCGUAGAUAUAUGGAGGAACACCAGUGGCGAAGGCGACUCUCUGGUCUGUAACUGACGCUGAGGCUCGAAAGCGUGGGUAGCAAACAGG